UGUGCCGGAUGACGCUGAGGUGCCCCAACUCGGGGGUAAAAGGGAAGCCGGUGAAAAUCCGGCACGGUCCCGCCACUGUGAGCGGCUUGAAAGCCGCAAGUCAGGAAACCUGCCUCAGCCGAAAACACCCG
rnacentral:ncRNA from 2 species